rnacentral:antisense_RNA from 10 species
CAUAUCCAAAAAUUACUAAUGGAUUUAACGUCGGGUUUUUGAUUAAACGAACAUCUCCUCCACCUGGAGCCCAUGUGUCAUAAACUCCACCUAUGUACAUUGCUUUUGCAACUAAUAAGAAUGAUCCAAUUCCUAGUAAACAUAAGUGAAUACCUAAAAUUGUUGUCAUUUUAUUUUUAUCACGCCA